rnacentral:lncRNA from 1 species
GGGGUUCUGAGGGGGCUGUGGGGGGAAUUGAGGGGUUAGGGGGUGGUUAUGGGUGUCUCAAUGCUGUGCCCCCCCUUACUCCCCCAGGUUCUGGCUGCAUCUGGGGGACUAUGGGGUGGUUAUGGGGUGGUUAUAGGGUGAUUAUGGGGGUGUCAGUGCUGUGCCCCCCCCAGGUUCCGGCUGCAGCUGGGGGAUUAUGGGGUGGUUACUAUGGGGUGGUUAUGGGGUCGUUAUAGGGUGGCUAUGGGGGUCUCAGUGCUGUGCCCCCCCCAGGUUCCGGCUGCAGCUGGGGGGGCCGCGCUCCGAGGCGCUGGCGCGCAGCAGACGCCGGGCACAGGAGGAGCUGCUGCAGCCGCUGCCCAGCACCGCGCUGGAGCUGAACCCUGACAGCAUCUAUGGGGAUGGUGAGACCUAUGGGGCACCCAGGGGUCCUCCUGGAGCCCUAUAGACACCCAGAGGUCCUCCCGGAGCCCCGUAGGGCACCCAGAGGUCCUCCCAUGGCCCCUUAGGGCCCCCAAAGGUUGUCCCAGAGCCCCAUUGCAACCCAUAGUAUCCUCCUAGAGCCCGUAGGGCCCUCAAAGGUCCUCCCAGGGCCUUAGAAGUCCUCCUAGAGCCCCGUGUGGUACCCAGAUAUUCUCUGAUAGCCCCAUAGGGCCUCCAAAGAUCCUCGUAGUGCCCAUAGGGACGCAUAAGAACCAUACGGGGUCCUCCUAGAGCCCCACUGAGACCCAUAAGAUUUGUCCAGAGCCCAAUAGGAUCCUCCCAGAGUCCUAUAGGGCCUGCAGAGGUCCUCAUAGCGCCCAUAGGGAUGCAUAGGAACCCCAUAGGGUCCUCCCCGAGCCACAUCAGAC